GUGCCAGCCGCCGCGGUAAUACCGGCAGCCCGAGUGAUGGCCGAUCUUAUUGGGCCUAAAGCGUCCGUAGCUGGCCGCGCAAGUCCAUCGGGAAAUCCACCCGCCCAACGGGUGGCCGUCCGGUGGAAACUGCACGGCUUGGGACCGGAAGGCUCGAAGGGUACGUUCGGGGUAGGAGUGAAAUCCCAUAAUCCCGCACGGACCACCGAUGGCGAAAGCACUUCGAGAAAACGGAUCCGACAGUGAGGGACGAAAGCCAGGGUCUCCAACCGGAUUAGAUACCCCGGUGUCC
rnacentral:rRNA from 1 species